rnacentral:rRNA from 1 species
UGGGGAAUAUUGGACAAUGGGCGCAAGCCUGAUCCAGCCAUGCCGCGUGAGUGAUGAAGGCCCUAGGGUUGUAAAGCUCUUUCACCGUUGAAGAUAAUGACGGUAACCGGAGAAGAAGCCCCGGCUAACUUCGUGCCAGCAGCCGCGGUAAUACGAAGGGGGCUAGCGUUGUUCGGAUUUACUGGGCGUAAAGCGCACGUAGGCGGACUAUUAAGUCAGGGGUGAAAUCCCGGGGCUCAACCCCGGAACUGCCUUUGAUACUGGUAGUCUUGAGUUCGAGAGAGGUGAGUGGAAUUCCGAGUGUAGAGGUGAAAUUCGUAGAUAUUCGGAGGAACACCAGUGGCGAAGGCGGCUCACUGGCUCGAUACUGACGCUGAGGUGCGAAAGCGUGGGGAGCAAACAGG